CCGAGUGUAGCUCAGUGGAUAGAGCGAUUGACUGUAGUGUUCUAUACUGUGUUUCAGUAUUCUCGGAAAUCAAUUGGUCGCUGGUUCGAUUCCGGCCACUCGGA
rnacentral:tRNA from 1 species